GGACCCGACCGCUAUCGGGGUAGGGCUAAGCCAUGCGAGUCGCGCGCCCGGGGGCGCCCGGGAGCGGCGCACGGCUCAGUAACACGUGCCUAACCUACCCUCGGGAGGGGGACACCCCCGGGAAACUGGGGCCAAUCCCCCAUAGGGGAAGGGAGCUGGAAGGCCCCCUCCCCGAAAUGGACUGCGGCCGAUCCGCCGCAGUCCGCCCGAGGAUGGGGGCACGGCCCAUCAGGUAGUUGGCGGGCUAAAGGCCCGCCAAGCCGAAGACGGGUCGGGGCGGUGAGAGCCGCGAGCCCCGAGAUCGGCACUGAGACAAGGGCCCAGGCCCUAAGGGGCGCACCAGGCGCGAAACCUCCGCAAUGCGGGCAACCGUGACGGGGCCACCCCGAGUGCCCCCUUUCCGGGGGCUUUUCCCCGCUGUAGGAAGGCGGGGGAAUAAGCGGGGGGCAAGUCUGGUGUCAGCCGCCGCGGUAAUACCAGCCCCGCGAGUGGUCGGGACGGUUAUUGGGCCUAAAGCGCCCGUAGCCGGCCCGGCAAGUCCCCUCCUGGAUUCCCGGGCUCAACCCGGGGACUGGGGGGGAUACUGCCGGGCUAAGGGGCGGGAGAGGCCGAGGGUACUCCCGGGGUAGGGGCGAAAUCCUAUAAUCCCGGGAGGACCACCAGUGGCGAAGGCGCUCGGCUGGAACGCGCCCGACGGUGAGGGGCGAAAGCCGGGGGAGCAAACCGGAUUAGAUACCCGGGUAGUCCCGGCUGUAAACGAUGCGGGCUAGCUGUUGGGUGGGCUUAGAGCCCACCCAGUGGCGCAGGGAAGCCGUUAAGCCCGCCGCCUGGGGAGUACGGCCGCAAGGCUGAAACUUAAAGGAAUUGGCGGGGGAGCACCACAAGGGGUGGAGCCUGCGGUUCAAUUGGAGUCAACGCCGGGAAUCUCACCGGGGGCGACAGCAGGAUGACGGCCAGGCUAACGACCUUGCCUGACGCGCUGAGAGGAGGUGCAUGGCCGUCGCCAGCUCGUGCCGUGAGGUGUCCGGUUAAGUCCGGAAACGAGCGAGACCCCUGCCCCCAGUUGCGACCUAGGGCUACGGCUCUAGGGCACACUGGGGGGACUGCCGCCGUUUAAGGCGGAGGAAGGAGGGGGCCACGGCAGGUCAGCAUGCCCCGAAUCCCCCGGGCUACACGCGGGCUACAAUGGCGGGGACAGCGGGUUCCGACCCCGAAAGGGGGAGGCAAUCCCUCAAACCCCGCCGCAGUUGGGAUCGAGGGCUGCAACUCGCCCUCGUGAACGCGGAAUCCCUAGUAACCGCGCGUCAACAUCGCGCGGUGAAUACGUCCCUGCUCCU
rnacentral:rRNA from 1 species